GAUGAACGCUAGCGGCAGGCCUAACACAUGCAAGUCGAGGGUGACAUAGAAAAGCUUGCCUUUCUGAUGACGACCGGCGCACGGGUGCGUAACGCGUAUACAACCUACCUUUUAGCGGGGAAUAGCCCAGGGAAACUUGGAUUAAUGCCCCAUAGUAUAUAGACUUCUCCUGAAGUUUAUAUUAAACAUUUAUGGCUAUUAGAUGGGUAUGCGUCCUAUUAGUUAGUUGGUAAGGUAACGGCUUACCAAGGCAGCGAUAGGUAGGGGUCCUGAGAGGGAGAUCCCCACACUGGUACUGAGACACGGACCAGACUCCUACGGGAGGCAGCAGUGAGGAAUAUUGGACAAUGGGCGAGAGCCUGAUCCAGCCAUGCCGCGUGCAGGAAGACUGCCCUAUGGGUUGUAAACUGCUUUUACAGAGGAAGAACCACCCCCACGUGUGGGGGUUUGACGGUACUCUGCGAAUAAGGAUCGGCUAACUCCGUG
rnacentral:rRNA from 1 species